AUAGGCUUGCAAAUAGACUUCACCGUUCCACCGGCCUUACGGGCUGCUCAGACGUGAGAACGGCGAAAGCCUACAGUCUCCUUCCCCACAGCGUGAAAUCAGUCACAUUCCAGGGAUACCUGCAAACAUCACAUCACUGGCAAUUCGGGUUUCAUCAGCGAUUCCGCCAAGUGCCCGGCUACAUAUUAACCAAAACCUCCACCCAGGCAGCACACACCGCCUUACUAACCUGUGUGAUGGAAUGGAUGCCACCUGUCUGACAGCCAGGGUGCGGGCAGUGCCUCGUCUCGUGGACAAAUGGGUAAAACCGCUGAGAAUCGCUCCAAGCAACAUCUGGGCUUCUGGGAUGGAAAGAAAACUUGACCUUUGUUACUGUGCGACGUAAUAUCAGACAUCUAGGCGUGAAAGAACGUGGGAGACGCUAGGUGCCUCGGGGUAACCCACAGUGCCGAAGGCUGGCACCAUGGGGUAUUGUGACCCUCCAUGACGAAGUCGCCCAUUGUCGCCCCACCUUGAGGCUGCCAGUGUGUCACAUGACCUGCGACAAUGGAGACC